AUUUUUAUCCAACUCGUAGUGCUCCGGAUUGAAGGUUUCCCUCACCGACAUGGUCGUUUACAAAUUCAGGCUAUAGAAGGAGAAUAAGGAAAGAUGACCAUAAUGAUCAGGCAGAAGUUUGGAUAAGCAAAGACUUAGGUUGGAAGUUGGGAGGAGCCAGAAUAGUAGAAUUAUCAAGUUUCAAGGAUGAUGGACACGGAGAUGAUGAAUGAAUUCAAAAGGAAAUUGAAUGGGCACUUGAGGGAAAUAAACUUGCUGGAAUGUUGGAAUAGAGCAGGGAGUAACUGGAUUGCUCCACAGAGAGAUGGCUUGGACUCGAAGGGCUAAAUGGCAGCCUCCUGUUUCAUAAUGGCUCCAGCUGUGUUGUAACUAUGUGAGAAUGGUAGCUUCAGACUACGUGAUGCAAAUAGAUACUGCUUCAAAAAAUAAUGAUCAAUUCCUUUAAUGAUGC